UACGUAGGGGGCAAGCGUUGUCCGGAUUCCUUGGGCGUACCGAGCGUGUAGGCGGCCAGGUAGGUCGGUUGUGAAAACUGGAGGCUCAACCUUCAGAGGUCGACCGAAACCAUCUGGCUAGAGUCCGGGAGAGGAGAGUGGAAUUCCUGGUGUAGCGGUGAAAUGCGCAGAUAUCAGGAAGAACACCCGUGGCGAAAGCGGCUCUCUGGAACGGUACUGACGCUGAGACGCGAAAGCGUGGGGAGCGAACAGG
rnacentral:rRNA from 1 species